rnacentral:rRNA from 1 species
UACGUAGGGUCCGAGCGUUGUCCGGAAUUAUUGGGCGUAAAGAGCUUGUAGGCGGUUUGUCGCGUUUUGCUGUGAAAACCCGAGGCUCAAUCUCGGGCCUGCAGUGGGUACGGGCAGACUAGAGUGCGGUAGGGGAGAAUGGAAUUCCUGGUGUAGCGGUGGAAUGCGCAGAUAUCAGGAGGAACACCGAUGGCGAAGGCAGUUCUCUGGGCCGUUACUGACGCUGAGGAGCGAAAGCGUGGGGAGCGAACAGG